rnacentral:rRNA from 1 species
GAUGAACGCUGGCGGCGUGCUUAACACAUGCCAGUCGAACGAUGAAGCCCAGCUUGCUGGGUGGAUUAGUGGCGAACGGGUGAGUAACACGUGAGUAACCUGCCCUUAACUCUGGGAUAAGCCUGGGAAACUGGGUCUAAUACCGGAUAGGAGCGCCUACCGCAUGGUGGGUGUUGGAAAGAUUUAUCGGUUUUGGAUGGACUCGCGGCCUAUCAGCUUGUUGGUGAGGUAAUGGCUCACCAAGGCGACGACGGGUAGCCGGCCUGAGAGGGUGACCGGCCACACUGGGACUGAGACACGGCCCAGACUCCUACGGGAGGCAGCAGUGGGGAAUAUUGCACAAUGGGCGAAAGCCUGAUGCAGCGACGCCGCGUGAGGGAUGACGGCCUUCGGGUUGUAAACCUCUUUCAGUAGGGAAGAAGCGAAAGCGACGGUACCUGCAGAAGAAGCACCGGCUAACUACGUG